AUGAACGCUGGCGGCGUGCCUAAUACAUGCAAGUCGAGCGAACGGACGAGAAGCUUGCUUCUCUGAUGUUAGCGGCGGACUGGUGAGUAACACGUGGAUAACCUACCUAUAAGACUGGGAUAACUUCGGGAAACCGGAGCUAAUACCGGAUAAUAUUUUGAACCGCAUGGUUCAAAAGUGAAAGACGGUCUUGCUGUCACUUAUAGAUGGAUCCGCGCUGCAUUAGCUAGUUGGUAAGGUAACGGCUUACCAAGGCAACGAUGCAUAGCCGACCUGAGAGGGGGGACGGACACAAUGGAAAUGAGAAACGGUCCAGAAUCCUAAGGGAGGCAGCAGUAGGGAAUCUUCCGCAAUGGGCGAAAGCCUGACGGAGCAACGCCGCGUGAGUGAUGAAGGUCUUCGGAUCGUAAAACUCUGUUAUUAGGGAAGAACAUAUGUGUAAGUAACUGUGCACAUCUUGACGGUACCUAAUCAGAAAGCCACGGCUAACUACGUG
rnacentral:rRNA from 1 species